UACGUAGGGUGCAAGCGUUGUCCGGAAUUAUUGGGCGUAAAGAGCUCGUAGGCGGUCUGUCGCGUCUGGUGUGAAAAUCCAGGGCUUAACCCUGGACCUGCAUCGGGUACGGGCAGACUAGAGUGUGGUAGGGGAGAUCGGAAUUCCUGGUGUAGCGGUGAAAUGCGCAGAUAUCAGGAGGAACACCGGUGGCGAAGGCGGGUCUCUGGGCCGAUACUGACGCUGAGGAGCGAAAGCGUGGGGAGCGAACAGG
rnacentral:rRNA from 1 species